rnacentral:rRNA from 1 species
AUUGAACGCUGGCGGCAGGCCUAACACAUGCAAGUCGAGCGGAGCGGCGGACGGGUGAGUAAUGCCUAGGAAUCUGCCUGGUAGUGGGGGAUAACGUCCGGAAACGGGCGCUAAUACCGCAUACUAUCAGAUGAGCCUAGGUCGGAUUAGCUAGUUGGUGGGGUAAAGGCCUACCAAGGCGACGAUCCGUAACUGGUCUGAGAGGAUGAUCAGUCAUACGGUAACUGAGAAAAGGUCCAGGUGCCUACGAGAGGCAGCCGUGGAGAAGAUGGGAGAAUGGGGGAAAGCCUGAUCCAGCCAUGCCGCGUGUGUGAGGAAGGACUUCAGUUUGUAAAUCACUUUUAGUUGGUAGGCGUUCCCAUCAGAAUAAGCACCGGCUAACUUCGGGCCAGCAGCCGCGGUAAUUC